UCGUUAAUUGCACAUUGCACCAGUAAGAGCAGAGUGUGAAGGUUCAAUUAGCAGGGUAAGAGCACAGUUCUGCUCUAAAUAUUACAAUGCACACAACAUUAUGGGAGACAUACCAGAGUUCAAAAGAGGACAAAUUGUUGGUGCACGUCUUGCUGGAGCAUCUGUGACCAAGACAGCAAGUCUUUGUGAUGCAUCAA